CAGCCGCGGUAAUUCCAGCUCCAAUAGCGUAUAUUAAAGUUGUUGCAGUUAAAAAGCUCGUAGUUGAAUUUCGGGGUCAGUAGGUUGGUCGUGCCACCGGUACGUACUGGUCUCACUGAUUCCUCCUUCCUGAUGAGCUGUAAUGCCAUUAAUUUGGUGUUGCAGGGAAUCUGGACUGUUACUUUGAAAAAUUAGAGUGUUUAAAGCAGGCUAACGCUUGAAUACAUUAGCAUGGAAUAAUGAAAUAGGACGUUCGAUCCUAUUUUGUUGGUUUCUAGGAUUGACGUAAUGAUUAAUAGGGAUAGUUGGGGGCAUUAGUAUUCAAUUGUCAGAGGUGAAAUUCUUGGAUUUAUUGAAGACUAACUACUGUGAAAGCAUUUGCCAAGGAUGUUUUCAUUAAUCAAGAACGAAAGUUAGGGGAUCGAAGACGAUCAGAUACCGUCGUAGUCUUAACCAUAAACUAUGCCGACUAGGGAUCGGAUGAUGUUAAUUUUUUUAAUGACUCAUUCGGCGCCUUACG
rnacentral:rRNA from 1 species